CGGUUUCGGCUGUCACUUACAGAUGGGCCCGCGGCGCAUUAGCUAGUUGGUGAGGUAACGGNUCACCAAGGCGACGANGCGUAGCCGACCUGAGAGGGUGAUCGGCCACACUGGGACUGAGACACGGCCCAGACUCCUACGGGAGGCAGCAGUAGGGAAUCUUCCGCAAUGGACGAAAGUCUGACGGAGCAACGCCGCGUGAGCGAUGAAGGCCUUCGGGUCGUAAAGCUCUGUUGUCAGGGAAGAACAAGUANCGGAGUAACUGCCGGUACCUUGACGGUACCUGACCAGAAAGCCACGGCUAACUACGUGCCAGCAGCCGCGGUAAUACGUAGGUGGCAAGCGUUGUCCGGAAUUAUUGGGCGUAAAGCGCGCGCAGGCGGUUCCUUAAGUCUGAUGUGAAAGCCCCCGGCUCAACCGGGGAGGGUCAUUGGAAACUGGGGAACUUGAGUGCAGAAGAGGAGAGCGGAAUUCCACGUGUAGCGGUGAAAUGCGUAGAGAUGUGGAGGAACACCAGUGGCGAAGGCGGCUCUCUGGUCUGUAACUGACGCUGAGGCGCGAAAGCGUGGGGAGCGAACAGGAUUAGAUACCCUGGUAGUCCACGCCGUAAACGAUGAGUGCUAAGUGUUAGAGGGUUUCCGCCCUUUAGUGCUGCAGCAAACGCAUUAAGCACUCCGCCUGGGGAGUACGGCCGCAAGGCUGAAACUCAAAGGAAUUGACGGGGGCCCGCACAAGCGGUGGAGCAUGUGGUUUAAUUCGAAGCAACGCGAAGAACCUUACCAGGUCUUGACAUCCUCUGACAACCCUAGAGAUAGGGCUUUCCCCUUCGGGGGACAGAGUGACAGGUGGUGCAUGGUUGUCGUCAGCUCGUGUCGUGAGAUGUUGGGUUAAGUCCCGCAACGAGCGCAACCCUUGAUCUUAGUUGCCAGCAUUAAGUUGGGCACUCUAAGGUGACUGCCGGUGACAAACCGGAGGAAGGUGGGGAUGACGUCAAAUCAUCAUGCCCCUUAUGACCUGGGCUACACACGUGCUACAAUGGAUGGAACAAAGGGCAGCGAAGCCGCGAGGUGAAGCCAAUCCCAUAAAACCAUUCUCAGUUCGGAUUGCAGGCUGCAACUCGCCUGCAUGAAGCCGGAAUCGCUAGNANUCGCGGAUCAGCANGCCGCGGUGAAUACGUUCCCGGGCNUUGUACACACCGCCCGUCACACCACGAGAGUUUGUAACACCCGGAAGUCGGUGGG
rnacentral:rRNA from 2 species